rnacentral:piRNA from 1 species
UAAUCUGAAUAAGCCUGGUGAAGC